rnacentral:rRNA from 1 species
GCUUACCAUGCAAGUCGAACGGCAGCACGGGUGCUUGCACCUGGUGGCGAGUGGCGAACGGGUGAGUAAUACAUCGGAACGUACCUUGUAGUGGGGGAUAGCUCGGCGAAAGCCGGAUUAAUACCGCAUACGCUCUGAGGAGGAAAGCGGGGGACCUUCGGGCCUCGCGCUACAAGAGCGGCCGAUGUCAGAUUAGCUAGUUGGUGAGGUAAAAGCUCACCAAGGCGACGAUCUGUAGCUGGUCUGAGAGGACGACCAGCCACACUGGGACUGAGACACGGCCCAGACUCCUACGGGAGGCAGCAGUGGGGAAUUUUGGACAAUGGGCGAAAGCCUGAUCCAGCAAUGCCGCGUGUGUGAAGAAGGCCUUCGGGUUGUAAAGCACUUUUGUCCGGAAAGAAAUCCUCUGGGUUAAUACCUCGGGGGGAUGACGGUACCGGAAGAAUAAGCACCGGCUAACUACGUGCCAGCAGCCGCGGUAAUACGUAGGGUGCAAGCGUUAAUCGGAAUUACUGGGCGUAAAGCGUGCGCAGGCGGUUUUGUAAGACGGAUGUGAAAUCCCCGGGCUUAACCUGGGAACUGCAUUCGUGACUGCAAGGCUAGAGUAUGGCAGAGGGGGGUAGAAUUCCACGUGUAGCAGUGAAAUGCGUAGAGAUGUGGAGGAAUACCGAUGGCGAAGGCAGCCCCCUGGGCCAAUACUGACGCUCAUGCACGAAAGCGUGGGGGAGCAAACAGGAUUAGAUACCCUGGUAGUCCACGCCCUAAACGAUGUCAACUAGUUGUUGGGGAUUCAUUUCCUUAGUAACGUAGCUAACGCGUGAAGUUGACCGCCUGGGGAGUACGGUCGCAAGAUUAAAACUCAAAGGAAUUGACGGGGACCCGCACAAGCGGUGGAUGAUGUGGAUUAAUUCGAUGCAACGCGAAAAACCUUACCUACCCUUGACAUGUACGGAAUCCUGCUGAGAGGUGGGAGUGCUCGAAAGAGAACCGUAACACAGGUGCUGCAUGGCUGUCGUCAGCUCGUGUCGUGAGAUGUUGGGUUAAGUCCCGCAACGAGCGCAACCCUUGUCCUUAGUUGCUACGCAAGAGCACUCUAAGGAGACUGCCGGUGACAAACCGGAGGAAGGUGGGGAUGACGUCAAGUCCUCAUGGCCCUUAUGGGUAGGGCUUCACACGUCAUACAAUGGUCGGUACAGAGGGCUGCCAAACCGCGAGGUGGAGCUAACCCCAGAAAACCGAUCGUAGUCCGGAUCGCAGUCUGCAACUCGACUGCGUGAAGCUGGAAUCGCUAGUAAUCGCGGAUCAGCAUGUCGCGGUGAAUACGUUCCCGGGUCUUGUACACACCGCCCGUCACACCAUGGGAGUGGGUUUUGCCAGAAGUAGGUAGCCUAACCGCAAGGAGGGCGCU